rnacentral:lncRNA from 1 species
GCAAGAGCGGGGCCUGCAGAGGCUGUUCUCCAGCCAGAGCUGGGCCUGUACAGGCCACCGGGAGGCAGGAGGUGGGCCCGAAGAGCUUGGCUGGAGAAAGUUCGGGGCCUACAAAGGCGGUUGGGAGCUGGGCAGGAGCUGAGCCAAAAAAGCUUGCUUACUUGCUGGGAGGCAGGGCCGGGAGAGGCUGACUUCAGGACGACUUGGGCCUGCAGAGGUUGCCGGGAGGCCCAAGCUGGGCGUGGAGGAGCCCACCGACCGGAGACCAUUUGGGGCCUGGAGACGCCAUCGGAGGGCAGGAGCUGAUCCUGGAGAGGCCACCGUGAGGCCUGACCUGGGCCUGGGGAGCUUGGCUUGAGGAAGCUGUGGGCCGACCAAGGCCGCCAGGAGAUGGGCAGGCACUGAGUCCAAAGAGGUUGUUGGGAGGCCGGAGUCGGGCCUGGAGACGCAGCCAGGAGGAAGGGCUGGGCCCGGAGAGGACGCCGGGAGGCUGUAAGUGGGUCUGGAGAGGCCAACUUGAGGAGGUUCUGGGCCCGGAGAGGGCGCCGGAAGGGAAAAACUGGGCCUGGAAAGGCCGUUGUGAGGAAUGAGCCCCAUGGGCCUGAAGAGGCCACUGGCAGGUGGGAGCUGGG